UACGGAGGGGGCUAGCGUUGUUCGGAAUUACUGGGCGUAAAGCGCGCGUAGGCGGACCUGCAAGUCGGGGGUGAAAGCCCGAGGCUCAACCUCGGAACUGCCUUCGAUACUGCGGGUCUCGAGUCCGGGAGAGGUGAGUGGAAUUCCUAGUGUAGAGGUGAAAUUCGUAGAUAUUAGGAAGAACACCAGUGGCGAGGCGGCUCACUGGCCCGGUACUGACGCUGAGGCGCGAAAGCGUGGGGAGCAAACGGG
rnacentral:rRNA from 1 species